AUAUGUCACGGUAAUCUCACU
rnacentral:rRNA from 1 species